rnacentral:rRNA from 1 species
UACGUAGGGUGCAAGCGUUAAUCGGAAUACUGGGCGUAAAGCGUGCGCAGGCGGUUUUGUAAGUUUGUCGUGAAAUCCCCCGGGCUCAACCUGGGAAUGGCGAUGAAGACUGCAAGGCUAGAGUCCGGAAGAGGAGAGUGGAAUUCCCGGUGUAGCGGUGAAAUGCGCAGAUAUCGGGAAGAACACCCGUGGCUAAGGCGGCUCUCUAGUACGGUACUGACGCUGAGACGCGAAAAGCGUGGGGAGCGAACAGG